rfam:Citrus sinensis cultivar Ridge Pineapple sweet orange scaffold03815_contig_2, whole genome shotgun sequence.
AUAUCGUGAUGAGGACAUCUUUUGAGUAGCUCUUUAAAUAUUUCUUUUCAUCAUACAAGCUUUCAUAAUCAAGUUGAUGAAAAGCGAUUACCUCAUUCCUCAAUUU